GCAGCAACAUGGAUGCAACUAGAAAUUGUCAUAAAUAAACAGAUUGAUAGAUGAAGCAUAAAACAAGACCAGAUGCUGUGGUUUCCAGGAUACACUUGGCUUCCCAUCCUUUAUAACCUGGAGCAUUUUUUGCUCUCCAUUCCUGAUGUGUCUACCAGAGACCAGUCCCAUCAAGAGGAAGGAAUUCUCUAGGAAGCAAAUUCAGGAGUAAGAAACCCCACACCUAUUCUGCAUAGUCCAAUUUAUUGUUAAUUUCAUUAUCUAUUGAUAUACUGGGAAGGAUGUUAGUUUGGGACUUCUCUCUCUCACAGAAGUAGCAAAUCAACAUUAACACAGGUAAGACAUUUUAUCUUGAUAAAGUCACCUAUUCCAAUGUUAUGGAAAUAGUUAGAGAAGAUCUAGACAUAUAUCUAGAAAGGUAUAAUUUCAAGGAAUCACACUCUCUCAGGAUUGAAAGGAAUAUUAAUUUCAUUGAAUCUUCAGCCAAAGGCAGUGUGGAAUUGUAGAAAGAGUAUGUGCUAUGCAAUUAUAGGACUUUGAUUAAAUCACAGCUUUGCCACUUAGUAGCUAUGUGUUCAGGGUAAUUUAUUUAACUUGGUUUCUUCACCUAUAAAAUAGAGAUAGUGGCUACAUUAUAGAGUUGGUAGAAGAAUUGAAGAUAAUGUAUGUAAAGGACCUGGAAGAGACAUAAUAAGCAUUAUUAAAUGAUUGUUGUUUUUGUUCUGAUCAUAAAUGUCCCACCAACCAGUCAUUGUGCUUAUUUGAACAUUCCCAGUGACAUGGAAUUCACUAACUAUUCAGGUAGCCCAUUCUUAUGUUUGGAGAAUUCUUUAGCAUUAGUUCCUCUUUUUACUGAGCCUAAAUUGUUUCCCCUACAAAUUUUACCUGUGGUUCUCAUUUUUGCCAGCAGGGCUGCACACAUUAAGUGUGUAAAUCAAUUAAGCAUCUAAUCUAGAAUGGAAUAUAUGCUUCAAGAGUGGUGUGACCUGUGUGGAUAUUAGAGAUUUAUCAACACAAUUUAAAAUCCAACUAGCUUCCUUUUCCUAAAACCCACCUAUUUUUUCUUUUCUUUUUUUAUUGCCACAACUGGGGCAUGUGGAAGUUCCCAGGAUAGGGGUCGAAUUGG